rnacentral:rRNA from 1 species
CUCCUACGGGAGGCAGCAGUAGGGAAUCUUCCGCAAUGGACGAAAGUCUGACGGAGCAACGCCGCGUGAGUGAUGAAGGUUUUCGGAUCGUAAAACUCUGUUGUUAGGGAAGAACAAGUGCCGUUCGAAAGGGCGGCACCUUGACGGUACCUAACGAGAAAGCCACGGCUAACUACGUGCCAGCAGCCGCGGUAAUA